UACAGAGGGGGCAAGCGUUAUUCGGAAUUAUUGGGCGUAAAGAGCUCGUAGGCGGUGUGUCGCGUCGGCCGUGAAAACCUGUGGCUUAACCACGGGCUUGCGGUCGAUACGGGCAUCACUGGAGUUCGGCAGGGGAGACUGGAAUUCCUGGUGUAGCGGUGAAAUGCGCAGAUAUCAGGAGGAACACCGGUGGCGAAGGCGGGUCUCUGGGCCGAUACUGACGCUGAGGAGCGAAAGCGUGGGGAGCGAACAGG
rnacentral:rRNA from 1 species